GCCUGGGUGGCUCAGUCUGUUGAGCGUCCGACUUCAGCUCGGGUCACGAUCUCGCGGUUUGUGAGUUCAAACCCCACGUCGGGCU
rnacentral:tRNA from 1 species